UACGUAGGGUCCGAGCGUUGUCCGGAAUUACUGGGCGUAAAGAGCUCGUAGGUGGUUUGUCACGUUGUUCGUGAAAACCCACAGCUCAACUGUGGGCGUGCGAGCGAUACGGGCAGACUAGAGUACUGCAGGGGAGACUGGAAUUCCUGGUGUAGCGGUGGAAUGCGCAGAUAUCAGGAGGAACACCGGUGGCGAAGGCGGUGCUCUGGGCCGAAACUGACGCUGAGGAGCGAAAGCGUGGGUAGCAAACAGG
rnacentral:rRNA from 1 species